GCAAACUUGGUCAUUUAGAGGAAGUAAAAGUCGUAACAAGGUCUCCGUAGGUGAACCUGCGGAGGGAUCAUUACCGAGUUCGUGCCCCGCCGCGGGGUAGAUCUCCCACCCUUGUGUAUCUUCGUGCCGUUCUGUUGCUUUGGCAGGCCGCCCAGGGCUGCGGCCCGGGCCACCGGCUCCCCCCGAGGGGGGCGGGUGCGCGCCUGCCAGAGGACCCUCCAAACUCGUGUUUGUCAGUGUCGUCCGAGUACUAUAACCAAUCGUUAAAACUUUCAACAACGGAUCUCUUGGUUCUGGCAUCGAUGAAGAACGCAGC
rnacentral:misc_RNA from 1 species